rnacentral:lncRNA from 1 species
AAACUAGAGGUGGUCUGGGAAUCCAGACCAGGACAGAACAACCAAUAAACAAUAAAUCACUAUGAAAGCUCUUGCAGUCCUGGCUAAAGCAUCCGCCAUCUUGUUUUGGGCUCUUGGUAUGUGGAAGAUCUUGAAGUCCUGGUAGCGUCCUUUUAUAGGUUUGAAUUCCGCAAGUGCCGUGGAGAAGGUUGGCCACGUGCUUGGGUCCUUUAUCAUUGAAAUUACAUCCUUGCAGUCAGUUCCAAAGGAGUGGCAUGAAGUAUGUUGGGACAUGUUCUCCAUCUCCCAUAUGAGCGCAUCCAAUUCCGGGUGUAAUGGAGACCGUCGUCUCACAUUAUUUCUCAACCCUAAGAGUUGAUAUUUUCCAGUUUCAUCCAGUCACACCCAUCCCUAGCCACUGUAGUAUGACUCUGCCGACCAAGACCCAUCUACGAGGCAUAUACUUCGUAAGCGUAAGGCUCGCAUUCCCCAGUUUUGUUCUGGUGCAGGCACGUCUUUUACCGUCAUAGAGUUCGCCUCAAACCAAGCAUUACAUUCACUAUGGGCGUGUCUAAUUAGUUCCAUCGGAUCACGUGUUAAUCCUCUGAAUAACUUAUCAUUUCGUGCCUUCCAUAAGUACCAAAUUAUCCAUGUAUAUGGGUCUCUGUCUAAC